ensembl:lncRNA
GUACAGUUAAAGUUUAUUUUAGGCUGAACACGAGUCAGAAAAACACCAACAAAAAGGCAUACACUUACAAAAGAUGUUUGUUGUUAUUAUUGCAUAGACCAGCUAAGAAUCCCACGUGUCUUUGUGGGGGAGAAGCAUUUGAGUCGGACACCUUCAGUUUAGGCCGGUGAACGCAUACACAACACAUGUAGACAUAGUCAAAUAAACACAUUCAUGAAUCGUUGAGUGCACACAGAUCACUUCAUGUCAGAUGUUGGAGGAUCUCCAUCUUCUGUAACACUGACCGUCUCCACGGGAAAGUUAGAAACCGUCACAGGAAAAAGGCACAGUUCAUCCAGACAAAUGUUUCAAAUCACUCUGAUUGGCUGCUCCGGUUUGCAGUCGUCUGAAUGUAGAUGUAUUCUCUACUCGUCAGCAUGACAGAGUAAUAAUAAUAAUAAUAAUAAUAAUGGAUUGGAUUUCAUAUAGCGCUUUUCAAGGCACCCAAAGCACUUUACAAUGCCACUAUUCAUUCACUCUCACAUUCACACACUGGUGGAGGCAGCUACAGUUGUAGCCACAGCUGCCCUGGGGCAGACUGACAGAGGCGAGGCUGCCAUAUCGCGCCAUCGACCCCCCUGGCCAACACCAGUAGGCGGUAGGGUAAAGUGUCUUGCCCAAGGACACAACGACCAGGACAGAGAGCCCGGGGAUCGAACCGGCGACCUUACGGUUGCAGAUACGCUUCCAUUUGUUUCAAAUUAUUUCAUAGUUAACAAAAAAAUAAAUAAAUCCUUUAUAAUUUACAUCCACAUUUAUAAGUCUUCUUCCUCCCCCCACUCCCACCCAAAGCAGUGGAAUGAAUUACUAAUUGAAUGUGUGAGCUUGAGUUACAGCAUACAGCUGCCUGUAGAAGCGGCAGUGUGCCCGUUUGCUUGCUAGUCCGCUCACAGCUACUGCAGACAGCCUUGGAAGAACAGUGUGUCACCCGGGCAUUUAUGGCUUACGUAUUGAUUUGCUCAGGAUUCAUUUUGGUUGAUGCAACACAAUUUGGUGGCCACAUUCAGACAAAGCUUUCUGCUGUUGGUGAACACUCUUCUUUCCUGUCAAUAAAUCUCAGAUCCAAAGCAGCAGGAAUGUGUUUCAAAGCCUGGGCUGGUGGAAAUCUAUAGUCUGUGUGAUGAUUUCAUUCAGUGGGUAAAAAGGCAGCCAUCAGGUCGGCCAGCUCCUCUGCACUCAAAUAUCUCGUGUCAAUCAUCUGUAUGAAGGCACACACGCACACACGUCUGGUAUAAUCAGU